GACGAACGCUGGCGGCGUGCCUAAUACAUGCAAGUAGAACGCACAGUUUAUACCGUAGCUUGCUACACCAUAGACUGUGAGUUGCGAACGGGUGAGUAACGCGUAGGUAACCUGCCUGGUAACGGGGGAUAACUAUUGGAAACGAUAGCUAAUACCGCAUAAUAUUAAUUAUUGCAUGAUAAUUAAUUGAAAGGUGCAAUUGCACCACUACCAGAUGGACCUGCGUUGUAUUAGCUAGUAGGUGAGGUAACGGCUCACCUAGGCGACGAUACAUAGCCGACCUGAGAGGGUGAUCGGCCACACUGGGACUGAGACACGGCCCAGACUCCUACGGGAGGCAGCAGUAGGGAAUCUUCGGCAAUGGACGAAAGUCUGACCGAGCAACGCCGCGUGAGUGAAGAAGGUUUUCGGAUCGUAAAGCUCUGUUGUAAGAGAAGAACGGGUGUGAGAGUGGAAAGUUCACACUGUGACGGUAUCUUACCAGAAAGGGACGGCUAACUACGUG
rnacentral:rRNA from 1 species